GUAUUACGUAUUAUUGCAUUUGUAUACAGUUAGUUAAUUAGUUGAUUAGUUAGUUAACAUCUGGAAUUAGUUGACAGCUGGAAUUAGUUGGCUUCUUCUGUUUCCUUUCUAUUUAUACUCGUGUUGUAAAACUCUACUUACUUUUCUCGUGAUCAAAUAAAAGAGUUUCUCUCUCUUUCUCAAUUCAGUUCCAAUAGUUGGCAACUAAAGCUUGGUUGGAUUUCACAAAAUUCUUGAACCCCUAGUACACCCUCACCUUUAUGCUGCAAACCUCAUCCCACUUUUUCCAUAUCAUAUUCCUCUCCUGUUCCUUGCACCCACCAGAAUUUUCGAAUUACAUAGAGGAUCUGACACUUUAAACAUGAUCGUGAGGUAAGUUGUGAUGGACUGCAAAUUAGCUAAAUUAACACCACCCGUUCCCCAGUGGAGUAAAUUCCCCCUCCAUCCUUUGACCCUUUUUCACAUUCGCUCUAUGAUGUCUGCAAACACCUCUUUCUUCUCCCUAUCAACUACAGUUGGUCUGUCAUGAUUUUUAACUUUUAUACGUCUCAAGUAUUGUUGGUACGGGGAUAUAGCUGGAGACUAAUAUUAGGAGCAAAUUAAUAAUCAAACAUGUCAGACGCAUUUCAGAUAUGUGUCUCGAUUAAUUUCUACUGAAAAACUUGACGCUGAUGGAUAUGAUAACAAUUUCAAUUGAGGUAAAUUGAAGCUCACCAGUGGCUCCUUAAUAAUGGAAGAAAACGAAUAA
rnacentral:lncRNA from 1 species